ensembl:snoRNA
GGUCAAUGAUGUGUUGGCAUGUAUUAUCUGAGUUUGCUGAUGUGUAACACUUUAGCUCUAGAAUUACGCUGAGACCUU